UACGUUUUUAUUGAUGUUGUGAGAACCAAAACUGACUUGUUUAGGACUUCUUGUUUCAAAGCAGCAACGUGGAUAUUGAACUUUAUUGUAGUUGUAGCUGGUUGCGGUGUAACUGUGGCCGUCAUCUUGCUCGUUUCUGCAAUUCUCUGGAACAAAAAAAGAACUGCAGGUGAAAGGCGGGAGCCUCAAAAUGAGAAUUUGGACGCAUACCCUUUGUACUGCAGCAUCUCUGAGGAGCCAGCUGCAUCAGAGCUGAAGGGUGUGAUGUACAGCACCGUGCAGACACACUGAAACUGAGCAGACAGCCUGAAGAACUGUUACUGAAAUGCACCUUGUGUUUGAAGUUGAGUGGUUUAAUCUAGUCUUAGUUUUACAGUUUUACAACUUUUACAGCCAGAUGCAAUUAUCAAGUUGAGGUUUAUGACUUAAAAUGUAUUUAGUUUUACUUUAUAACUAAAACAAAGUUCACUUUACUCCUGUUGUUUGAUGUUGAUCAUAUUUUCUAUGCACUAUACAUAUAUUUACAUGCAUUUUACUGCUACUGUAAAUAUGCUG
rnacentral:lncRNA from 1 species